AACGAACGCUGGCGGCAGGCCUAACACAUGCAAGUCGAGCGCCCCGCAAGGGGAGCGGCGGACGGGUGAGUAACGCGUGGGAACGUACCCUUUGCUACGGAAUAGCCUCGGGAAACUGGGAGUAAUACCGUAUGUGCCCUUCGGGGGAAAGAUUUAUCGGCAAAGGAUCGGCCCGCGUUGGAUUAGGUAGUUGGUGGGGUAAUGGCCUACCAAGCCGACGAUCCAUAGCUGGUUUGAGAGGAUGAUCAGCCACACUGGGACUGAGACGCGGCCCAGACUCCUACGGGAGGCAGCAGUGGGGAAUCUUAGACAAUGGGCGCAAGCCUGAUCUAGCCAUGCCGCGUGAGCGAUGAAGGCCUUAGGGUUGUAAAGCUCUUUCAGUGGGGAAGAUAAUGACUGUACCCACAGAAGAAGCCCCGGCUAACUCCGUGCCAGCAGCCGCGGAAUGUACAGUGU
rnacentral:rRNA from 1 species